rnacentral:rRNA from 1 species
GAUGAACGCUGGCGGCGUGCCUAAUACAUGCAAGUCGAGCGAACGGACGAGAAGCUUGCUUUUCUUAUGUUAGCGGCGGACGGGUGAGUAACACGUGGAUAACCUACCUAUAAGACUGGGAUAACUUCGGGAAACCGGAGCUAAUACCGGAUAAUAUUUUGAACCGCAUGGUUCAAAAGUGAAAGACGGUCUUGCUGUCACUUAUAGAUGGAUCCGCGCUGCAUUAGCUAGUUGGUAAGGUAACGGCUUACCAAGGCAACGAUGCAUAGCCGACCUGAGAGGGUGAUCGGCCACACUGGAACUGAGACACGGUCCAGACUCCUACGGGAGGCAGCAGUAGGGAAUCUUCCGCAAUGGGCGAAAGCCUGACGGAGCAACGCCGCGUGAGUGAUGAAGGUCUUCGGAUCGUAAAACUCUGUUAUUAGGGAAGAACAUAUGUGUAAGUAACUGUGCACAUCUUGACGGUACCUAAUCAGAAAGCCACGGCUAACUACGUG